UUGGAGGCAGAAUGACCAUAUUUUACAGACUGGUUUGCGCCUUCGUGCCCUCAUGCCUUUACUCAGACCAUUCUCGCUCCUGGAAAUGCACUCUGGAAGUGAAGGCUGACAACAUCCUGCUGAACUUUCAGGGCUCAGUUCAGGGUUUUCCUUCGGAGUACCGGAAGCAGAAGCACUUCCUUCCACCACUCUCCUGCAACAUGCUGUAUCUACUUCUUUAAUAGGACUUAACACUCCACUGUAUUUGCACUUAACACUUUGUCGUUGCAUGUCUGUCUUCCCAGAAAACUGAAUUUUUUAAAAGCAGAAACCCAUAUUGUUUACCUUUAUGUUUCCCUAAUAGUAUCUGGCCUGCAAUAGCCCAUGUUUGUGGAAUAAACAACUUACCUUGUGACCUUGCCAGCCUGUCACAGCUCUCUCUCAGGAAGUGAGUAACACCAAACCACUGAUAUAACGGACAAAACUUCUCCUGGACAGAGAGCUGCUCAUCUGGGCAGGGACCGCCAGGAGAGCACCGGCCUACUGCAGGGUCACCCCCCUCGCCCAUGAAGCCAUGCCAAAGACCUGCCUCCUCUUCUUCCUCACCAUCUUCUGCACAGGGGUCUCAUUGGAUAUAAUUUUGGAACCAGAUACCAAAGCACUGACUGUCCUCAUUGGGGAGGCUGCUACCUUCCGUUGCAGCGUAACAGGAGGGGACCUGAAGAACUAUCAAAUAAGCUGGUAUAAGAAGAGUGAAGAUAACUCUCUGAUUUUGGUCUCCAAACUAAGCAACAAUUCUAAUGACAAUUUAGGGAAUAAUUUCAAGGUGAAAAUUGAUACUUUAAAAAGUCAAUUUAUGCUUGACAUUCAAAAAGCAACAACACAAGAUGUUGGGACUUACUACUGUGCGUCUGAUAUCCACAGUGCUGCAGCUCCGUUUCUGACCUCUUCAGAAACCCUAGGGCCAAACUGAGGCGGCAGAUCCAAUUCGAGACCACCCCGGGCUAAAAUGUGCACCACACCUGAGAUGAAGCUGCCUGAUCACUUCAACAGUAACAUCUGAUAAAAGAGGCCAGGAGUUGAAGUGGGGGCAAGGGGCUUAUCUUUGCGGUUGGUUUAGA